UACGUAGGGUGCGAGCGUUAAUCGGAAUUACUGGGCGUAAAGCGUGCGCAGGCGGUUCGUUGUGUCGGUGGUGAAAGCCCCGGGCUUAACCUGGGAAUGGCCAUGGAAACUGGCGAACUGGAGUGUGGCAGAGGGGGGUGGAAUUCCGCGUGUAGCAGUGAAAUGCGUAGAGAUGCGGAGGAACACCGAUGGCGAAGGCGGCACGCUGGGCCAUAACUGACGCUAAGACUCGAAAGCAUGGGUAGCGAACGGG
rnacentral:rRNA from 1 species